rnacentral:lncRNA from 1 species
CGGAGAAGGAAGGUCUGUCCUGCCCAUCCAGCACAGUGCUUUCAAGCUCGCGUUUUUUAGCUGCAACUCCACCCCGUGCUGGUGGAAAAGGGAUCAGUUCCUACUGAUCGCAGGAAAGGGAGGUCACGGGGUUUGCUUGAUUAAAUCACCACAAGCCAAAAGGUUCUUUCUCUCUUCUCACUGAGAAUUGCUCAGAGGCUGUUUAAUUUGUUCCAAAAAGAAAAACAAAACAAAAAGACCAAACCCCAAGCCCAACCACCAACAGCACACACGGAAAAGCAGGUGUGUCUCAAGAUCCUGGGAAAACAAAGGGCAGAGACUGAGGCAGAAAGUGACACUUGGAUGGGAAGUUCCCAUCCCAGCACAAGAGGACAAGUUUGGAAAAGGCUCGGACAGGAUCAGCACUUAUCCUACAGGCUUGAUCAUUACAGAAGGGAAUUAAGAGAUAUGGACAGCAGAGACCUGCCUUCACCAUU